GGAGGAGGUCCUGAGUACUGAGAUGGUUACCUAGUCCCUUCCCACAUCUUGAAGCAGAUGUAUCAUUCCCUGAAGCAUUCAGCAGGAAGAGAACCUGGUGCCAGGCACGGGAUUGGCAGGCGAACUGUGGGCAGCCAAGGAACCUCUGCACAAGCAGCAUCAUGCAACACCUGAUCCAAAGCCCAAAGCAGCAGCCAUCGUCUCCAACACGCUUUGAACACGCUUGCUCACUCAACACCAGAGGUGGCUGAUCAACAGGUUCUACAAUUCCUGAAAGAAUACAAUAAAAAUAGUAACACAUUUUGACAAUAAUUAACAUUCUUAUACACCACAUUCUACACUACCUUGUUUUUGGCCCUGCUUAGUAUUAUGGUCAGAGCAGUAGUACCUAGGAAAGUCUCAAAAUCGUGGAAAAAUAUGGCCAACAUGUGAGCCUGUUGAUUUAAAUCCCAUCCUGGAUCUAGUAUCAGAUCUCUGUGUGAGAAUAAAGUGAAACAUGCAAAACAGGGCCAAUUGUGGUGACUGUACAGAUCAAAGUGGGAAACUGCAGAGAGAAAUGUGGGAUCCAUUGGGUUUCAAAAAUCAACUGUAGG